rnacentral:rRNA from 1 species
CCUAGGGAGGCAGCAGUGAGGAAUAUUGGUCAAUGGGCUAAGGCCUGAACCAGCCAAGUCGCGUGAGGGAAGAUGGUCCUAUGGAUUGUAAACCUCUUUUGUCGGGGAGCAACGAGGCCACGUGUGGCCGAAGUGAGAGUACCCGAAUAAAAAGCAUCGGCCAACUCCGUGCCAGCAGCCGCGGUAAUACGGAGGAUGCCAGCGUUAUCCGGGUUUAUUGGGUUUAAAGGGUGCGUAGGCGGAACAUUAAGUCAGCGGUAAAAUCGAGGGGCUCAACCCCUUUAAGCCGUUGAAACUGGUGAACUCGAGUGGACGAGAAGUAUGCGGAAUGAGUGGAGUAGCGGUGAAAUGCAUAGAUAUCACGCAGAACUCCGAUAGCGAAGGCAGCAUACCGGCGCCCGACUGACGCUGAGGCACGAGAGCGUGGGGAGCGAACAGGAUUAGAUACCCUUGUAGUC